rnacentral:rRNA from 1 species
GAUGAACGCUGGCGGCAUGCCUAAUACAUGUAAGUCGAACGAGAGGAAGGAAAGCUUGCUUUUCUGAAUCUAGUGGCGAACGGGUGAGUAACACGUAGGUAACCUGCCCAUGUGCCCGGGAUAACUUCUGGAAACGGAUGCUAAAACCGGAUAGGUAGCAGACAAGCAUUUGACUGCUAUUAAAGUGGCCAAGGCCAUGAACAUGGAUGGACCGGCGGUGCAUUAGCUAGUUGGUGAGGUAACGGCCCACAAAGGCGACGAUGCAUAGCCGGCCUGAGAGGGCGGACGGCCACAUUGGGACUGAGACACGGCCCAAACUCCUACGGGAGGCAGCAGUAGGGAAUUUUCGUCAAUGGGGGGAACCCUGAACGAGCAACGCCGCGUGAGUGAGGAAGGUCUUCGGAUCGUAAAGCUCUGUUGUAAGAGAAAAACGACAUUCAUAGGGAAUGAUGAGUGAGUGAUGGUAUCUUACCAGAAAGUCACGGCUAACUACGUGCCAGCAGCCGCAGUAAGAC